rnacentral:rRNA from 1 species
GACGAACGCUGGCGGCGUGCUUAACACAUGCAAGUCGAACGGAAAGGCCCCUUCGGGGGUACUCGAGUGGCGAACAGGUGAGUAACACGUGAGUAACCUGCCCUUGACUUCGGGAUAACUUCAGGAAACUGGGGCUAAUACCGGAUAGGAAUCCUUGCUGCAUGGUGGGGGUUGGAAAGCUUCGGCGGUUUUGGAUGGACUCGCGGCUUAUCAGCUUGUUGGUGGGGUAGUGGCUUACCAAGGCUUUGACGGGUAGCCGGCCUGAGAGGGCGACCGGCCACAGUGGGACUGAGAUACGGCCCAGACGCCUACGGGAGGCAGCAGUGGGGAAUAUUGCACAAUGGGCGGAAGCCUGAUGCAGCAACGCCGCGGGCGGGAUGACGGCCUUCGGGUUGUAAACCGCUUUCAGCAGGGGCGAAGCUUGUGGUGACGGUACCUGCAGAAGAAGCACCGGCUAACUACGUG